AAUUUCUGCCGUACGAUUUCAGUCUGCGACAAUGGCGUCCGAUGCGAAACGCUAGAGAUACAGCGUAGCUGUAGCUUUAGAGGUAAUUUUUGACGAUGGAAGUGAGUAUGGUGGUAUCUCUAGUGGUGAGGAAUCCGAAUUAGAUAGAAAACUGGAAAAUCCUAGCGAAGAAUCGAGAUGUGGUUCUACUUGUUACAUGCUGGAAAUUCACAAAACAAACAAAUUAUGCUCAAGAAUGAGUGGAAUGAUAUAAAAUGACAGUUUCCGGUUUCACUUCUGAAUUGUUUACUCUAGAAAAUACUGGUGGUGCAUUGCAAGUGAAAGGCUUUUGAUCCAGAGUCUCUGGAUGUCUUACCCAUAAGAUAAGGAAUAUUUUAUCCAAGAAAUGUUUCCUUUUAACUCCAAUCCAUUCAGGCCCAGGCUGUUUCAAAGUCAAAAGUUGUACAAUAAUUUAUGCAAAUCGUAUGCCAUUUUCUUAGCAUGAUUUAAAAUCUAUGGAUUUUUGGAGGCAAAAUAUAUUUUUUCUGAAAAGCUAAUUUUGUCCUUUCUC